AUGGCGCUGAUCGAUUGGAUAGAACUGAGUGAUGAUCCAGAGAUCAUUGAAUUGAGCGGUGACGAGGAGAAUGUCGAAGAAUAUCACAAUGCUUCCACGCAGAGCAACUCAGCUCAGCACCAAGCUACAUUGCAUGAUGAUCAGACCGUGUUUGUCACAGAAGGUGAAGGAAGGGAAGAGGCUACCGAAUCUGGAAAUGCAGAGGAAGCUACCGCAUCCUCCUCCGUUACUGAAAAGGAGUCUGGUAAUCCAGAGGAAGCUGCUGUAUCACAGACUUGUCCUCACACUCCAACAGCCGUUGUUACUGAAAAAGAGUCUGGAAAUCCAGAUGAAGCUACUGUAUCACAGACUUGUCCUCACACUGCAACAGCUGUGACAUUCCCCGGACCUGAUUCCCUCUCUCCGAAGGCUCUGACUUUUGAAGCCUGCGUCGCCAAGCCGCGGAGAGCGAAGGCGAAACGUCGCAGGAAGCUCUUCCACGCCGAUACACCUUGGAGGAGCCCUAGGCUUGAAGACAAGCAUAAAGGUCGUAGAAGGCCCGUGGAAGAGCUGGCAGUUGAGCGCAAGGCUUCUGGCAUGCCGGAAGAAGAAGAACAGAAGAACACCUCGGGUAGGAGCCGGAGGAAAUGCAAGGUGUUCGGCAAACGGUGUAGCCUCUGCAGAUAG
rnacentral:rRNA from 1 species